rnacentral:rRNA from 1 species
AACAAGGUUUCCGUAGGUGAACCUGCGGAAGGAUCAUUACCGAGUUGAUUCGGGCUCCGGCCCGAUCCUCCCACCCUUUGUGUACCCACCUCUGUUGCUUUGGCGGGCCGCGGUCCUCCGCGGCCGCCCUCCGUCCGGGGGGUGGCCAGCGCCCGCCAGAGGACCAUCAAACUCCGGUCAGUGAACGUUGCCGUCUGAAAAACAAUCAAUAAACUAAAACUUUCAACAACGGAUCUCUUGGUUCUGGCAUCGAUGAAGAACGCAGCGAAAUGCGAUAAGUAAUGUGAAUUGCAGAAUUCAGUGAAUCAUCGAAUCUUUGAACGCACAUUGCGCCCCUCGGUAUUCCGAGGGGCAUGCCUGUUCGAGCGUCAUUACAACCCUCAAGCUCUGCUUGGUGUUGGGCACCGCCCUUCCGCGGGCGCGCCUCGAAGACCUCGGCGGUGGCGUCUUGCCUCGAGCGUAGUAGAAAACACCUCGCUCUGGAGCGCACGGCGCCGCCCGCCGGCCGAACCUUUUGAACUUUCUCAAGGUUGACCUCGGAUCAGGUAGGGAUACCCGCUGAACUUAAGCAUAUCAAUAAGCGGAGGA